GCAGUCGAGCGAGCGGAACAACAGAUUUACUUCGGUAAUGACGUUGGGAAAGCGAGCGGCGGAUGGGUGAGUAACACGUGGGGAACCUGCCCCUAAGUCUGGGAUACCAUUUGGAAACAGGUGCUAAUACCGGAUAAGAAAGCAGAUCGCAUGAUCAGCUUUUAAAAGGCGGCGUAAGCUGUCGCUAAGGGAUGGCCCCGCGGUGCAUUAGCUAGUUGGUAAGGUAACGGCUUACCAAGGCAACGAUGCAUAGCCGAGUUGAGAGACUGAUCGGCCACAUUGGGACUGAGACACGGCCCAAACUCCUACGGGAGGCAGCAGUAGGGAAUCUUCCACAAUGGACGCAAGUCUGAUGGAGCAACGCCGCGUGAGUGAAGAAGGUUUUCGGAUCGUAAAGCUCUGUUGUUGGUGAAGAAGGAUAGAGGUAGUAACUGGCCUUUAUUUGACGGUAAUCAACCAGAAAGUCACGGCUAACUACGUGCCAGCAGCCGCGGUAAUACGUAGGUGGCAAGCGUUGUCCGGAUUUAUUGGGCGUAAAGCGAGCGCAGGCGGAAAAAUAAGUCUGAUGUGAAAGCCCUCGGCUUAACCGAGGAACUGCAUCGGAAACUGUUUUUCUUGAGUGCAGAAGAGGAGAGUGGAACUCCAUGU
rnacentral:rRNA from 1 species